rnacentral:rRNA from 1 species
AUUGAACGCUGGCGGCAGGCUUAACACAUGCAAGUCGAGCGGAGAUGAGGUGCUUGCACCUUAUCUUAGCGGCGGACGGGUGAGUAAUGCUUAGGAAUCUGCCUAUUAGUGGGGGACAACAUUCCGAAAGGAAUGCUAAUACCGCAUACGUCCUACGGGAGAAAGCAGGGGACCUUCGGGCCUUGCGCUAAUAGAUGAGCCUAAGGCGGAUUAGCUAGUUGGUGGGGUAAAGGCCUACCAAGGCGACGAUCUGUAGCGGGUCUGAGAGGAUGAUCCGCCACACUGGGACUGAGACACGGCCCAGACUCCUACGGGGGGCAGCAGUGGGGAAUAUUGGACAAUGGGCGGAAGCCUGAUCCAGCCAUGCCGCGUGUGUGAAGAAGGCCUUUUGGUUGUAAAGCACUUUAAGCGAGGAGGAGGCUACUUAGAUUAAUACUCUAGGAUAGUGGACGUUACUCGCAGAAUAAGCACCGGCUAACUCUGUGCCAGCAGCCGCGGUAACAC